rnacentral:tRNA from 1 species
GAAAUAUAUUAUAAUUAAGCUGCUAACUUAAUUCAUGUGAUUAAAAUCAUAUAUUUCU